rnacentral:lncRNA from 1 species
AGCGAAAUAUUUUUUUAUACUUUCUUACUAAUAUUUAUGUAAAUUUAAAGUGUUUAAAACUAGUUACCUAAACUAAAUAAGAUUUUAAUAUUCUAUUAAUAAACUAUUAACAAGUUGAUUACAAAGGAUUUUAGAACUCUGACAAAGAUAGAAACAGAGGAGCACUGAGAUUCAGAGUCAUCUUCUCUACCCUCAGUCUCUUCUUCUGUAAUGCUCUCAAGCCCAGGAGAAUUAGCAGUCUUGUGUAGAGAUAUGAAAGGGGCUGGUGCAACUUCAACCCAGUAACUCAAAUCUUUAAUCUGCUUUGCCAUUUCAGAAACAGAGUCCUUCUCCGCUACACUUUCAAGACCAAGAAGACGGAUAAAAAAAAAAUAUCCCCAGAUGAAGAGAACUGAUUGGGAGAUUUUGCAGUACACAGUAGGACUGUAUCAGGUGGCAGUGGAAGACAACUUGGUGGAGCUCCCCUUUUAUAAGAACUUGAUUGUUGGAUCUAUACAUUUGAUUGCUGAAGAUUUGGGAGUUUAGUCACUGCUCAUAAAGCUAAACACACGUGGGAAAUGAGGUGGAGCGGGAAAAUUUUGUUAAACGUGCAAAGGAACUGACCAUACACUCUCCUAAGCAUUGCUUGGAAGCCUGUAGGGACGGCUACGGGAAAUUAAUUCCUUUUAGUGGGGUCUUGAACAGAAGAAAUCACUCAUGAAUAUUUAGAAUUAUUAGUUUAGUGAUUUAAAACGCAUUACUCAUUUUCAUUAUCUAGUUCUCUACUUAAAAAGGACUAUUAAAAUAAAAUUAUGCAUAUUAUCAAUUUUAUCAAAAAAUUUUCGUUGAAAGACGUUUCCAUGAAUAAGUCUCUCCAAUAACCUGUUUUUUUGUAUAAGCGUCGGGAAAAAACUAGCCUUUUUGAGAAGGGCCUAAAGGGAGAGGGGAAGCUUGAGCUUUGUAAAGGUAUCAAUGUUCAAGAAAGUAAUCUCAUAGGAAAUAGAAGAAGUUUUUUCCAUAAUUAUAUUUACAUUAAAACUAUCUAUAAAAUUUACAUCUGAAUAUCUACAGCAGAGAGAGGAAUUGCUAAACCUAUCAGCUCAUGUGCAAGCGAUCCCAAGUGGAGCUUUUUGCCUUUUGAUAUUUUAACGUGGUAAUG